CAGCAGUUCUCAGCCCUGACAGAAGUGCUCUUCCACUUCCUAACUGAGCCCAAAGAGGUGGAAAGGUUUCUGGCUCAGCUCUCUGAAUUUGCCACCACAAAUCAGAUCAGUCUUGGCCCCCUCAGAAGCAUCGUGAAGAGCUUCCUUCUGGUUCCAAAUGGUGAGUAGCCUCUCCCAGCAGCUGAGGUCAGAGACAUGACUUGAACACUCCCUCAAUCCACCGAAUUGGCAGGCGUGCUCUGGGCGCCGAGCCAGAGCGUUCGGUGGUGAACCAGACAUGGGCGGGCCUCGCAGUCUAGGGCGGGGAGCCAGCUAGACGGAGGGCGAGCAGGUGAGCAGAAUAGAGGUGCCCUCAGGGUGCAGUCGCAUCCCUGCUUCCGGCCCCAGGCAUCUCUGGUCCCCUACCUGGUAGGCGCAGAAACUGAGAGUAAGGAUCUAGAACCUGUUAUGGCAAUUUGAUAGUCUCUUGUACUAAUUUUUAAAAAGGGGCCUGUGUUUUUGUUUAAUGUGGUAAAAUAUACAUAACAUACAAUUGAUCAUUUGAACCAUGUGGAUCUUAUAUUUUGUGUUUUUUCAUUUCCUCUAAGAGUUAAUUUUCAUUGUAUUUUACAAAAAUCUCAGCCUAUGAUGGAUAGAAAAAUGUAUAAGAUAGGUCUUUGGCGGCUGAUGGUUUGAGAAGCAGGUUUUGCCUUAGAGCCAUCAGGCAACAGUUCCUGGCGGGAGGGAGGUGAUCACAGAGGCUGCGCCGUGGGGCUCUCCGCUGGAGCUCUGUUCAUAAGAAAGAAAAAUUAGAAGCAAUCAAAUUACCCAGCAACUGGAAAUGGGUGUCACAAGCCGUGGUCCAUUUUUACAGGGGAGUAUUAGGGUGGUCAAGAAUUCAGUUUGAGGAGUUCCUAUCGUGGCUCAGUGGUAUCAAACCCGACUAGCACCCAUGAGGACACGGGUUUGAUCCCUGGCCUCGUUCAGUGAGUUAAGGAUCUAGUGCUGCCAUGAGCUGUGGUGUAGGUGGCUCAGAUCUGGUGUUGCUGUGGUGGUAUGGCGUGGGUUGGCAGCUGCAGCUCUGAUUUAACCCCUAACCUGGGAACCUCCAUAUGCCGCGGGUGUGGCCCUAAACACAGACAUACACACAGACACACACCCACCCACCCACCCACAAACACACACACAGAUGCUGUUGAGGAAAAUGUAGUCAUAUGGAAAACCUUGCACAAUGUUCUGUUUGAUACUGUCUGCUACAGUCCUUAUGUUAAAAAGUAUAAAGAGUUAAUUGUGGCUCUGUCUGAGUGGUAAGACUGCAGGUUUAUGGCUCUGCAGGUUAAGAGCCCUAUUGCUAUCUGUGAGGACUUGGGUUCGAUCUGUGGCCUCGCUCAGUGGGUUAAGAUCUGGCGUUUCUGUGAGCUUGGUGUCGACUGCAGAUGCGGCUCAGAUCCUGCAUUGCUGUGGCUGUGGUGUAGGCUGGCAGCUGCAGCUCUGAUUCGACCCCUAGCCUGGGAACCUCCGUAUGCCCCAGUGAUUGCAUGAAAAGUUCAAAGCUUGGUUUGUUUGUUCCUGCCGGGCCUCGGACCUCAGACCUUCUGAUAUAUCUUAGUGCACAUCCUUCACGUGCCCCGUCUCAUGCUCCUAAGGUUCAGGGGUGUGAAUCAGAACAUCCCCCAGGUUUGCAGCUGUGAAAUUUUAGGAUCCUUGGUUAGUGUGAUUCUUGCAAUUUUUGCCCUCAUGGCAGGAUAAAGGCAUGAGAACCACAAGGCUGGAAGGGAGCUUACGGUCUUUUCAACACAGGAAUAAAUGUGCAUCGCAAAGUUAGAACUGCAGAGCUCUGGAGAGUCAAAGGGGAACAUCUCUCUUUACUCUCAUCCAAUUCUUGCCUCUAGAAAUAAUCACACAGUAUAAUUUUGGCAUAUUUUUCUGUGCACUGACAGACAUACACAUAUACAUUCAUGUAGUUUUGUUUUUCAUAAAUGGUAAUAAACCCUAGAAUUACCCUGAAUCUUGCAUUUUUUCAUACCUAGUACAUGGAGGAUCUCUCCACGUCAGCUUCAUUCUUCCGGUGACUGCAGUGUACCUUGGACUGAAUGUACCUUCUUGUAGUUAGUCCAUUUCCCGUUGCUGGACGUUUUAGUUCUGACUCUUCACUCUUAGAAACAAUCCCGCUGUGAAUGUCCGUAGCAUGUCACGUUCCCGGCAUACGUGAGCAUGCCUGUGGGCUAGGUGCCCGGAGUGCAGAACCAGGAGUCCGCAUUCUCGUUGUCUAGCCUGCACCUGUGGGAAUGGGGAAACCCGUGAGCUGUUGUGAACACUGAUUUUCAGGAGACCUCGAUCUCCAUCUGUUCCUGCCCUUCUCAUCUCUGCUCCCGCCCCAUUCCGUCCUGCCAGACUGUGUUAAUCCCUCCCAGGCCUUGUGCUCCAGCCCCUAUGCCGCCUCUUUCAGAACAGUCUUCUCAAACCAGUGCAAUCCACAGUGACCUCCCCUUCCUCUCAGCAACCAGGAUGGGUUCUUUUAUCUGCAGCUCUCCUUCUGGAUCAUAAUCAUCUUGUUUUCUCUUGUUGGUGCUGUUUUAUUUGUGUCUCUCUCAUGAACCUAACAGAGAGCUAGUUCCUCGAAGUCAGGGACGGAGUCUGUACCACUUUCCUGAGCCGUGGUUACAAGUAAAGCGAUGAAAUAGAGCAGGAUCUUUUAGUACAUGCUGGGUGAGUUGAGCUGGAUUUGGGAGCUCUUGUGAUCCUCCCAGGGGAUGUUGGGUGUGUAUUCUUCAAGCAGGAUUGAUUACUACUGUUUGUAGCCCACUGUUUUCUGUAGAUGCAGAGACCACCAUCCAGAGAGACAGGCUUUGCAGGCUAACUUGGAUUUGAGUGUUGGUCAUAUCACCUAAUGUAGCUAUUUGACCUUGGGCAAAUCAGCCUUUUGGAGUUGCAGUUUCUCAUCUGAAAAAUGGAGUAAUAAGAGUAAGUUUAUGCUGUUGGUUUUGGGAAUAAAUGAGAACAUAAAAGUACUUGAUACCGUGCUUGCUAAACUUUAGCAUUAUUUAUCGAUAGUUCAGUUAGUUUCAGUCCUACACCUGGAUAUCAGAUCUUCAGAUUAAACAUUCUUUCACCUAAUGGAGAGGAUCUGAAUUCACCUCUUUUUUUAAAAAAUGUUUAAAAAUUAUAGUUCAGGAGUUCCUGUUGUGGCGCAGGGGAAAACGAACCCAACUAGUAUCCAUGAGGACAAGGGUUCAAUCCCUGUCCUUGCUCAGUGGGUCAGGGAUCCAAUGUUGCCAUGAGCUGUGCUGUAGGUUGCAGACGUGGCUUGGAUCUGUCGUUACUGUGGCUGUGGUCUAGGCUGGCAGCUGUAGCUCCAAUUUGACCCCUAGCCUGGGAACUUCCAUAUGCCAUGGGUAUGGCCCUACAA
rnacentral:lncRNA from 1 species